GACGAAUGCUGGCGGCGUGCUUAACACAUGCAAGUCGAACGGUGAAGGGGAGCUUGCUCCCUGGAUCAGUGGCGAACGGGUGAGUAACACGUGGGCAACCUGCCCCUCACUUCGGGAUAACCAUUCGAAAGGAUGGCUAAUACCGGCUAUGAGCCCUGGAGCCAUCUCUGGGGUUGGAAAGUUUUUCGGUGAGGGAUGGGCCCGCGGCCUAUCAGCUUGUUGGUGAGGUAACGGCUCACCAAGGCGAAGACGGGUAGCCGGCCUGAGAGGGCGACCGGCCACACUGGGACUGAGACACGGCCCAGACUCCUACGGGAGGCAGCAGUGGGGAAUAUUGCACAAUGGGCGCAAGCCUGAUGCAGCGACGCCGCGUGAGGGAUGAAGGCCUUCGGGUUGUAAACCUCUUUCAGUAGGGACGAAGCGCAAGUGACGGUGCCUAAAGAAGAAGCACCGGCUAACUACGUGCCAGCCGCCGCCGUAA
rnacentral:rRNA from 1 species